UAUGGCCUAGUGUAUUCGCACGCGGACCUUUGACAUCCGAAGUAUAGGUAAACCUAUGGCUAUAA
rnacentral:tRNA from 1 species